AUGAACUGCAGCUCUCAUCCUCCACCGCCUCAGUCAGCGUCUUUCCCUUCACUGAACAAAAGCCCUGUUUCCGCGGCCUCCAACUCUGCACAGUGCCCACACGCCUCCCGCCCCCCCGGGCCUUCCUUCUGUCAAGUCGACUCCCUCUUCAGAUGGCUCCCGCAGAAGCCUGUCAGUCAGGGAGGACCAGGAAGCCAGAUCCCAGCAACCCCACGUCUCACACACUCCCCUUCAACACCGUCCACAGAACUUCAGGACUCCAGCUGCCUCCCCUUCACACUGAAGAGCGGGAGCAGAGGACCCGCUUUGCUGACCCUGAGAAGCAGGACAGACCCCCAGGAGCAGAUGAGCCAUGAACCAGCGGAAGGCGGCCUGGACGCCUGCGAUGCCUCAGCCAGGUGGAGAUUGCCUCCGAUCUAUAGAAGUCUCCAGAGCAAGAUCAGUACUUUCCCUUCAGCCUUAAUCAUAGGAGAAAGGCUGCUUAUCCCACCAGUCAAGAUGCCUCGAAGGAAAAUCAGUGCCAGCUAGCUGCAGACAGUUAGACACACACACACACACACACACACACACACACACACACACACACANNNNNNNNNNNNNNNNNNNNNNNNNNNNNNNNNNNNNNNNNNNNNNNNNNNNNNNNNNNNNNNNNNNNNNNNNNNNNNNNNNNNNNNNNNNNNNNNNNNCACACACACACACACACACACACACACACACACACACACACACAUGCAUAGUCAAGUCUAAUGUCAGUGGAAACCAGUAACAGCGUCUUUACAUUAUUGAGUAGCCACUUGCCCUCUGUGGCUACUGUAAUUUAAAUUCAUCAAAGGUCAAUGAAAUUAAAAAUUCAGUUUCUCAAUCACACCACCACAUUCGCAGUGCUCAGUGGCCGCACGUGGUGAGCGGCUACUUAGAGAAGAGUGCAGAAGCAGACUGUUUCCACAGCACAUUCUGGGGCCAGGCUGCUGAGAGGUCUCCCACAAAGGCCUGUGUGAAACAGUGAAAGUGUUAGUCACUCAGUCAUAUCCAACUCUUUGUGACUCUAUGGACAGUAUGUAGCCUGCUAGGCUCCUCUAAUCCAUGGAAUUCUCUAGGCAAGAAUACCGGAGCGAGUGGGUUGCCACUUCCUUCUCCAGGAGUUCUUCCCGACCCAGGGACUGAACCCAAGUCUCCUGAAUUGCAGGCAGAUUCUUUACCGUUUGAGCCACCAGGGAAGCCUAAAGAAAAAUUAGCCUGGAAGAAGAGAAAAUAUUCACUGGAAAAGGGAGCAAAGCAAGCUGAAAAGGGAUUUGUCAAUCCCGAAUGAGAAACAGCGAAAGCCGUACCAUACACUGGAAGAUUUAGGAACAGAAACUCUUAGGUUGCCCGUGUGAAUUGCAGAGGUGAACCCCAAAUCAACAGCUCUUAAUACUAACCAGUUUAUUGUAACAGAAGAAAAUUGAACACAAAAAAUCGGUAAAAAUAUAAUAAAGACAACUCCAACAAUAAUACUUCAACUUUUUGCUUGUAAUUCAAUUAUUCGAAACUCAGUACAGGAUUCCCUAGAAGCCGAGACUGUGUGAUGAUCCACAGGGGAGCUUCCUGUCCUCCACCCUGGGGCACCCUGAAGCACAGGGCUUAUUAGCACAUUCUGUGUGACUCUGGAGGCUCAGGGAGGCUAGCUUCCUCAAGGGACACCUCGCAGUCCGGGCUCCGCGCGCUCUCUGGGACGUCGGUGGGCAGGGGCCCUGACCAGGGUCUGGGCGCCUUGAGACUUGGUUCUGAGCAGAGAGGAGGGGUCUGUGCAACCCCGUUUUGGAGCAGAAUCAGCAGGGCUGGGGAGCCACUGUGCAGCCUGGGGCAACCUGGCUCAGGGGCCGGCGAUCCAGCCGUGGUGUUUGCUCAUGACAUCUGUGAGCACCAUUUCAGCUGCGUGUGGCGUCAAACAGGAUUUCCUGGGCUUCUGCCCCAGCAAUUCCCAUAAUUUUAAGGCUGCUGUUUCCAUAGAGAAAUAUUUCGUGUUUUAAACAAUUGAGUUGAAAUAAACUUUUGAAUUUCAACUUUUAUGUGUUAGCAUUCCUAGUUAGGAUUACAGUGUUAGCAUUUGUCAAAGGCUUAAGCAAAUUCUGAACUACUUACUCUGAUAGGGAUAGCCCUGGGGUUAAGUCUAAGAAUAGUUUCUCAACAUUUUAAAACUCUUUUGAACAAUUUGCUUUUCUUGAAUGAAAUCAUGUAAAAUUGUCAUGCGUGAGUCUUUUUCUCUCUAAAGUCUUCAUGGUGAAUGAACAUCAGAUUUUAAUAUUUUAAAUAUACUUUCAUCAGGUAAUGAGAACUAAUUCUCUACCACAGUUUCUUUCCUCUUUUAGUCAUGGCUACCAUGAAGCUUCUAGAAGGAUGGAUUGAUUUAAUCAUAGUCUUUGAAGUUUUAAGGGGAGGAAGGUUUAACACUGAGGCUAAAGAGAGUUAUUGGGAUCAAGUGAGAGAACAGGAUGGAGGUUGGAGGGGACAGGGCCUCUGGAUCUGACUCUGGUUCAAGCCCUGUUCUCAGCCAAGAAGGAUGAGACACUGGUCUUUGUCAGUUACCCUACAUAAAUAAGUAUUCAGUUCAAUUGUUCAACUGUAUCUGAUUCUGUGUGACCCCAUGGACUGCAGCAUGCCAGGCUUCCCUGCCCAUCACCAACU
ensembl:lncRNA